AUUGAACGCUGGCGGCAGGCUUAACACAUGCAAGUCGAACGAGUGGCGGAGGGGUGAGUAAUUCUUGGGAAUCUGGCUUAUGGAGGGGGAUAACGACGGGAAACUGUCGCUAAUACCGCGUACCAUAGGAUGAGCCCAAGUGGGAUUAGGUAGUGGGUGGGGUAAUGGCCUACCAAGCCGACGAUCUCUAGCCGGUCUGAGAGGAUGACCAGCCACACCGGGACUGAGACACGGCCCGGACUCCUACGGGAGGCAGCAGUUGGGAAUAUUGCGCAAUGGGGGCAACCUGACGCAGCCAUGCCGCGUGAAUGAAGAAGGCCUUCGGGUUGUAAAGUUCUGUCGGUCACGAGGCGUUACCCACAGAAGAAGCACCGGCUAACUCCGUGCCAGCCGCCGCGGUAAUAC
rnacentral:rRNA from 1 species